rnacentral:rRNA from 1 species
UACGGAGGACGCGAGCGUUAUCCGGAUUUAUUGGGUUUAAAGGGUGCGUAGGCGGGAUGCCAAGUCAGCGGUAAAAAUGCGGUGCUCAACGCCGUCGAGCCGUUGAAACUGGCGUUCUUGAGUGGGCGAGAAGUAUGCGGAAUGCGUGGUGUAGCGGUGAAAUGCAUAGAUAUCACGCAGAACUCCGAUUGCGAAGGCAGCAUACCGGCGCCCUACUGACGCUGAGGCACGAAAGCGUGGGUAUCGAACAGG